AAAAAUAUAGUAUAUUAAUAUAUAUAUAUUAAGAUAAGUGUUCAAGUCACUUAAAGGGAACCUUUAAGAUUUUAAUUUAAACUUAAAAUGAUGGUUUUAUUAUUAUAAAUAUAUCAUAUAAUAAUUAAUGAUGUUAUUAAUGUAUAUUUAAUGUUAUUCUUUAAUUCUAUAUAUUAUAAAAAUAAUAUUUAUUUUAUAAAAAUAUAGAAAAAUUUUAUUUUAGAUAAAAUAUGAAUUUAUUUU
rnacentral:tRNA from 1 species